GCCAGCGGCGGAUAGAACGUUGAACACACCAGUUCCCAAGGGAUCACUGAAGUUAAGUAACGUUUCGCGUUGAUGGUAUCCGGAUGUGUUAUCAUUUGGGCAACCGGGCGCUGCUGGCU
rnacentral:rRNA from 1 species